rnacentral:rRNA from 1 species
CAGUCGCCACGGUAAUACGUAGGGUCCGAGCGUUGUCCGGAAUUAUUGGGCGUAAAGCGCACGUAGGCGGCUCCGCAAGUCGGAUGUGAAAUCCCUCGGCUUAACCAAGGAAGUGCAUCCGAAACUGCAGAGCUUGAGUACUUAAGAGGAUCGCGGAAUUCCCGGUGUAGAGGUGAAAUUCGUAGAUAUCGGGAGGAACACCAGUGGCGAAGGCGGCGAUCUGGGAAGAUACUGACGCUGAGGUGCGAAAGCGUGGGGAGCAAACAGGAUUAGAUACCCCAGUAGUCCCUGUCUCUUAUAC